rnacentral:misc_RNA from 1 species
UAAUAAGUGUUUUAUGGCACUUUUUAAAUCCAUAUCCACCUUGUGUGCAAUGUCAGUCGAUCUUCUUCAUGGAGAUCGACCAAACAUCAACCUUUAUCUUUUAACUCUUUGUCUGAAAAAUAUUACGAAUAAACAAUUCAAAAUA